ACGGGAGCAGCGAUGGCGAAACAAGGAAGAGGUCACCUGCGAUACUAGCCACCACCUCAGCUCCCUGUUCAAACACUUCCAUUACAGUCUCUAUCACGUUCUUCUUCUUCUGCUACGAUCUUCUAUAGCUGGCCGAGCAUUUUUGCUGGUAUUGUUAUUAUUCAGUGCAUAACACAUACCAGUAUUACAUCUGAGAAAAGACCAUAAGGUCAUGGUCAAGAGAAUGUUUAAUUUACAUUGGACAUAAUAAAGUCUAUGGUCUAUAGAAUUACUUUUGACUAAAUGGACACCUUUCUACUGACACUUAACUAAAGUAUUAUUGAAGAUCCAUUUAAAAUAUAGACAACCAAUCAUCCCCCAGUUCAAGACCAUAGUUAAAAUGGAGGAAAGGUUCAACAGCAAUACCAAAGUCUCUGAACUUAUGUAGAGCUGUUCUGGUCUUGUUGGACUGUGGCCUGCUUCCUUGCUCAAACUCUCAACUAGAGUGAAUCCCUGCUGGCAUCACAGUGAGAACUGAUAAGAGUAAAUUUCAGUACACUAGCAAAGCCUACUGGGAUUACAGCUGGGUACACCCAGUGAGCAAUAAGGCAACUAUGCAAAGACAAUCCACCAGUGAGGAAAGACACGUAUAGUCCAUUAGGUGCCUUUUGGCAAACUCCAAGCAGGAUUUCAUGUGCUAUUCAUUGAGGAGUAGCUACCGUCUGGCUACUCUACCAUAAAGGCCUGAUUGGUGGAGUCCUGCAGAGAUGGUUGUCCUUCUGGAACGUUCUCCCAUCUCCACAGAGGAACUCUAGAGCUCUGUUAGAGUGAACAUCGGGUUAUUGGUCACCUCUGACCAAGGACCUUCUCCCCUGAUUGCUCAGUUUGGCCAGGCGGCCAGCUCUAGGAAGAGUCUUGGUGGUUCCAAACUUCUUAUAUUUAAGAAUGAUGGAGGCCACUGUGUUCUUGGGGACCUUCAAUGCUGCAUAAAUGUUUUGGUACCCUUCCCCAGAUUUCACACAAUCCUGUCUCGGAGCUCUAUGGACAAUUCCUUCGACCUCAUGGCUUGGUUUUUACUCUGACAUGCACUGUCAACUGUGGGACCUUACAUAGACAGGUGGGUUCUUUCCAAAUCAUGUCCAAUCAAUUGGAUUUACCACAAGUGGACUCCAUUCAAGUUGUAGAAACAUGUCAAGAAUGGUCAAUCGAAACAGGAUGCAAGAGCUCAAUUUCGAGUCUUGUAGCAAAGGGUCUGAAUACUACUGUAUAUAAGGUAUUUAUGUUUAUUUUUAUUUUUAAUACAUUUGCAAAAAAUUCUAAAACCUAUUUUUGCUUUGUCAUUAUGGGGUAUUGUGUGUCGAUUGAUGAGGAUAUUUAUUUAUUGAAUCCAUUUUAGAACAAGGCUGUAACGUAACAAAAUGUGGAAAAAGUCAAGGGGUCUUAAUACUUUUUGAAUGCACUGUCUCAUCAAUAUUUAGGCCUGUAUAGCAUUUGCGAUGUCAUCAACAGCUAUUUUGUCAAUUCAACCAAGGGUUUAACAAAAAAAUGUCAAUAAGCUACAUACUGUAUAUUACCCAAAUGUCCACAUUAAAAAUUAUUUGGUGUGCCGAGUGGGACUUGUACACAUUUUUUUUUAAUGAGAAUGUUUAAAUUAUAUGUUGAAGUUGAAAUUGUUGAAGUUGAAGUGUACCACUCUGUCUUCAGCUACAAGGAUAGCUUCUCUGUCCUGUAGAUGUGUCCAGGUCACAGAGAAAACAUGUAAUAUGAUGACAGAUGACUUAAAUGUAGGCGAUUCAACACCACUCGGUUGAUUUGAGGCAGUUGAGGGAGAUGGAACAGAAUGAAAUGACGUCCUCUGCUGGAUGAGGGAGGUCCCACAGGAAAUGAAAUUAAAGUGACCAAAAACAUG
rnacentral:lncRNA from 1 species